UGGAACCACCUGAUCCCAUCCCGAACUCAGAAGUGAAACGAUGCAUCGCCGAUGGUAGUGUGGGGUUUCCCCAUGUGAGAGUAGGUCAUCGUCAAGA
rnacentral:rRNA from 5 species